AAAACAUGUUCUCUAAAGUUGGAGUUAGAUUUAACAAUCAGGUCCCCGAUGGUAAUGAUGUUGGAGGUUUCUGCGAGGAAAAUCAUGGCUUCUUUUGUCGUGCUAGUGAACUUCGGCCAGACUCUUCUGGUAGUGAAGAAGUUAGUAGCCUUGCUUUAGGCCAGUUAAUUGAGGUCAUUUCAGAAGAAAGCAAAAGCAGCAAUUUGAUUGUGUUACUCAAGGAUGUAGAGAAGUCAUUCACUGAAUGUACAGAAUCGCAUGAACCACUUAGAAGCAAACUUCCACCUGGUGUUCUGAUAUUUGAGUCUCGGACUCAGGCAGAGAGCUGCAAGGAUCAGGUACACUUGCACACCUUUUAGGAAAUAAAAUGAAAUUUGGAACACAAGUUGUCAAGACAUAAUGGGUAAUGAAGCAUGUUUGAGGUA